UAUCCGUUAUGGAAAAUUCAUCACUAAUAACUAUGAUAUUUAUAAUAUUAUAGAAAUGGUGUGCAAUUUUUCCAUAUAAGGACAUUGUAAUCUGUUAAUGUAAUAAAUAUUUAUUAAAAGAUCUUAUACAUAAGUUUAUUCAAAUUAGUUAUUUUCGGAUUUCUAACAUAGAAUAAAUGUAUUUGAUUUAAUAAAUCAUUGACAGAUUUAAUUAUAAUAUAGUGCUUAAAUUUUGAAAGAAAUUUUACAAUAAUAUGAUAAUUCAAUUUGUUAUAUUUAUUGUAUGCACUUAUAUGAUUAACAAUGCGAUAGAUUCAGGAUACCUUCGGGACCCGUCUUGAAACACGGACCAAGGAGUCUAACAUAUGUGCAAGUCAUUGGGUAUUUUUAAUAAAACCCAAUGGCAUAAUUAACUUAACUGUUUUUUAAAUGGGAUUAGUUUAUAUUUUAUUAUGAAAUAUUAAUUCAAUCCCGGGGCGUUCUAUACAGUUAUGCAUAAUGAUAUUUAUAUUAUUUAUGUCUCUAACUAGAGCGUACCUUGAGCAUAUAUGCUGU
rnacentral:rRNA from 1 species